UCAAGUCCUGAAGGUUCCUUUCCUCAGCCUCUUCCGGUCUGACUGAGGGAUCUCAAGUCCUCAUGGUCCCUUUCCUCAGCCUCUUCCGGUCUGACUGAGGGAUCUCAAAUCCUGAAGGUUCCUUUCCUCAGCCUCUUCCGCUCUCAAGUCCUGAAGGUCCCAUUCCUCAGCCUCCUCCACUCUGACUGAAGGAUCUCAAGUCUUGAAGGUCCCUUUCCUCAGCCUCUUCCGCUCUGACUGAGGGAUCUCAAGUCUUGAAGGUCCCUUUCCUCAGCCUCUUCCGCUCUUACUGAGGGACCUACUGUACCGAAAUAUGCCAAAACAACCGAGUGUAUCCCAGAGACUCGAGUGAAUAAACCCUGUCACGCGACUGAAGUCAGAACUGACUCAUCAACUCUGCUUCCUCAGAGCCUGGAGCAUAUCAGCAGGACCAGAGCGGGUCCCUUGUGCCAAGCAGUUUCAGGGCGCUGACAUCAUGUUAGCACCUCAGAGGGAAACACAGCAGUCGGACGCCGCGAGACUCACAACAACGUGUCAGCACUUGAGUCUGUCACAAGUCAGAGCGGCAAUGAGAGGAUGGAGAAGAUGGAGCGCGAGACAAGCGGCUCCUCAGUCACACCUGGAGGUUCCUCACCUCUUGCUUCCAUCCCUCCAUCAACAGACUUAUCAGGAAACUGUGGACUGAAGUUUCAACCACACGAGGGCGAGUCCGUUGCCACGGCGACAGAGCGACUGACAGGAGAAGAAGUUUACGUCGGCCGCAUGAUUCCAACAUUACUUCUCCAUCAAGAGGCAUCUGGGAGUCCAUCAGAGUAUUGACUUGUUCAUCGAUCCACAGUGUUGUGAGCUCAAGGUGAGGCCGAGACUCACGUCCAACACGAAGGACGAGGGAGACGCGCCAUUACGCUUUCAUGAUCUCGAAAUAAUCAUCUUCUCCGUUUAAUCCCAGGAGCUGGUGACUCAUGACUGAAAUUAAAAAUAGUAAAUUGUCCUUUCAAAGUAAAAGGUCAGCCAAAGAGGUCGACGUUUGCGUGCAUAUCGCUGAUCUAGGCAGAGUUUUGGGUUCCGCAGCUCCACCGUCUGAGCUCCAUCUGACUGAGGACACCCAGAUCAGGA